UACGUAGGUCCCGAGCGUUGUCCGGAUUUACUGGGUGUAAAGGGAGCGUAGACGGCAGUGCAAGUCUGGAGUGAAAGGCGGGGGCUCAACCCCCGGACUGCUCUGGAAACUGUACGGCUGGAGUGCAGGAGAGGUAAGUGGAAUUCCUAGUGUAGCGGUGAAAUGCGUAGAUAUUAGGAGGAACACCAGUGGCGAAGGCGGCUUACUGGACUGUAACUGACGUUGAGGCUCGAAAGCGUGGGGAGCAAACAGG
rnacentral:rRNA from 1 species